GAUGGACGCUAGCUACAGGCUUAACACAUGCAAGUCGCGGGGCAGCAUGGGGGUUGCUUGCAAUCCCCGAUGGCGACCGGCGCACGGGUGAGUAACGCGUAUCCAACCUGCCCUUCACCACGGGAUAACCCGGCGAAAGUCGGACUAAUACCGUAUGUUGUCCAUUGACGGCAUCCGAUUUGGACGAAAGGUUUGGCGGUGAAGGAUGGGGAUGCGUCCGAUUAGCUGGACGGCGGGGUGACGGCCCACCGUGGCGACGAUCGGUAGGGGUUCUGAGAGGAAGGUCCCCCACACUGGAACUGAGACACGGUCCAGACUCCUACGGGAGGCAGCAGUGAGGAAUAUUGGUCAAUGGGCGUAAGCCUGAACCAGCCAAGUAGCGUGCAGGAUGACGGCCCUAUGGGUUGUAAACUGCUUUUAUGCGGGGAUAAAGUGGCCCACGUGUGGGUUUUUGCAGGUACCGCAUGAAUAAGGACCGGCUAAUUCCGUG
rnacentral:rRNA from 1 species